rnacentral:rRNA from 1 species
GGCGAACCCGGGGAACUGAAACAUCUCAGUACCCGGAGGAAAAGAAAUCAACCGAGAUUCCCGUAGUAGUGGCGAGCGAACCGGGACCAGGCCAGUGCCUUGUCGUAAAUUAGCAGAACAUUCUGGAAAGUUUGACCAUAGUGGGUGACAGUCCCGUAUGCGAAAAUGAUCGACAAGGACUUGAGUAGGGCGGGACACGUGAAAUCCUGUCUGAACAUGGGGGGACCACCCUCCAAGCCUAAAUACUCGUACAUGACCGAUAGCGAACACAGUACCGUGAGGGAAAGGUGAAAAGCACCCCGAUUAGGGGAGUGAAACAGUACCUGAAACCGG